UACGUAGGGUGCAAGCGUUAAUCGGAAUUACUGGGCGUAAAGCGUGCGCAGGCGGUGAUGUAAGUCAGGCGUGAAAGCCCCGGGCUCAACCUGGGAACCGCGCUUGAGACUGGCGGGCUAGAGUUCGGGAGAGGAUGGUGGAAUUCCCAGUGUAGAGGUGAAAUUCGUAGAUAUUGGGAAGAACACCGAUGGCGAAGGCAGCCAUCUGGACCGACACUGACGCUGAGGCGCGAAAGCGUGGGGAGCAAACAGG
rnacentral:rRNA from 1 species